rnacentral:lncRNA from 1 species
GAAAAAAAUAAUUUUAUUAGAUAACCUAUAACACAAAUAAAAUUUCAUUACAAAUAAUUAUAAUACUAAGCUUAAGAAGUUCAAAUCUUUAUCAAACUAAGCUAAUACAAACUCGUGUAAGGUAACUCAAAAGAUUUAUUAAACAGAAUGUAACUUAAACAUUAUCAAAUCUAAAAUGGUUCUACAAUUUAUAAAUUUAUAAACAUAUUAAAAGCACUAUGUAUUUGCUUGGUAAUUUUCAUUGCUGCUAUCCGAUGAUCCUCUUAUUCCACAAGUGAAGUAAACUCAUCAUCCAACUGAAAUAAUGAAAUAAAAAUAUUUGAUGAGAAACUUAUAACCCACUAGCUAACGUAUCGUCCAUGAUAUUACCAACAUUACAGAUACAUGCCAAGAUGCAAAUCAUGAUUCUAGUUCUAGAAGAGAUAAAGGGAAAGGAGUGCAACUUACAAAUAUUUCUCUUGCCCCCUCACUCACAUAUGAUCCAAUCUUAUUUCUUAUGCAUAGCAAGACAAAUUUGUCCUCGUCCUGACUUUAUCCCUAUCUCAGCCAUCUAGGUAUGAAAAAAAUUUAAGUAUAAAUAACUUAACCAAACAAGAAGGAAUAGUUACAUAUAAAUUUAAUUGUUAAAGUAAAAUAAAUAGGUACCAUCUCUAACCAUUUCAGCCCUCAUUCCAGAAUUAAGGAACCCCAAAAAGAUCUUCCAAAAUACAGCUAGGAACUAACCACUCAAUAGAUCAUCUCCAAUAAAUUUUGCGCCUUCCUUCCUGAGAUGGAAAAGAAGAGGCUAUUUUGAGCUGAGACAUUCAUAUCACCAUUACUCGAAGGAAAUAGCAAUUAAGCAGCAUAAUACCUUAUUAAAAAUAUAAAUGCAACACCAAAGAAAUGUCUUUCUUUCUAUAGGACUUCAAUACGAGAAGUGAUGCCAUGUUUUUGCUCUUCUGCCUAACAAAUCAUUACAAGAUGUCAACCAAUCAGUUAUCAAUCAGAUGUUCGUUUUCUAUUUGAAAAACGCUAUAGGCACAUCUAAUGAAAAACAAUGCACAAGCUUGUCAUUUACGAAAGGGUGUGCAAGAAAAUAACAGAAACCUACUCCAACAUAACCAUCAAAUAGUUGAUCUUAUUCUUUUUUGCUUCUGAUAGUAAGUGCCACUUUCAUCGAAUAACAGAAACAUACUCCAACAUAACCAUCAUGAAGAAGAAUGCAAAACAGACAGAUGUCAUGUUCAUCGAAUUACUAUUAACAUAUUUAGUUUUCUAAAACUACAACAUAACAAUUUGAUGGUACUUCUAUCGUACUUCAACUACAAUUCUUAGAGAUAAUUGCCAAUUUAGCAGAGCUUCUGAAGCAAUUGAUUGCUACAAAACAAUUUCAAAUGCUCCUCUGUUAAGUUAUUCACCCACACACACUAUACACCUACAUAUUGCAGAUGCCACCAUACACAUGCCAACUGCAUAUGCUACCGGACCUUUCUUACCAAGUAUAGGUCUCUGUUUUGCUUUUAAAGAGACUAAAUUGGAAGCAACUAUUUUAAUGACUCAAACUAAUAAAGCAAACUACAAAACUAAAGUGGAAAAGAUUUCCAGUUCAGAUAACUAUUAUAGCUCUGACUUUUCCAUGGGAAAUUUUUUUUUCCUCAAAUUCUUCAACCUAAAUACCCAUCACAAGUUCAACCAUAAACCACCAAAAUACACUACUAAAGUUAGUGAAUAUUGAAAUUAAAAUUUGUCGCGAAAACUGAAAUAUUAUACUCCAAUACAACAUGGAAAACUCAGGUUCUUGAGAAAUCAGUGAUGACUUCGCAUGAAAUUGAGCCCUAAUUUUGCUUUGAGGGAGUGCUGACCCGAGGUACGACCUCUUAUUUUAAGAGCAUUAACCAAAGCUAUAAGAGAAUCAAAAUCCUAAACUAGAAACAAAUGAAAUUAGAGGGGAAGGAACUUACAACUUCCAGCCUUAAUUAAGAAACCCCCAUUCGAACUUCCCGACUCAAAACACUAAUCAACGAAUAUACGAGUGGAUGGCUUCAAGCUUAAUCAAACAACCACCGAGAAAGAAAUAGAAAGCAGACUUUUUUUGGAUUUUUUCUGGCCGCGUCUAUUGAGCAUUUAGGGUGGUUAUAUUAGGGUUGAUGGUAUUUGGGGAAAGUGAGUGAAAGUGAAAAACAAAAGACGGAAAUUUUGGGGGAAAGGGGAAUAAAAACGAGGGAAAU